GUUUCAAGUUUGGGCGCAGCAGGGAUCCGCGGGGGGCGACCGCUGUCGUGCCCCCGUCUGCCCUGCCUGCUAGGAGCAGGGCAUCCCGCAGCCAUCUCGCUAUCCAGGCUCACCGGCAAGGCUACGCGGAGGACGGGGCCCCUGGCUUUCUGAACCAGUUCUAGGACAAAAUGAUCCCGAUGGUGGCAGUAAACUUCAUCAUGCAACUGACACAUGAGAGAGGAAGAGGAUUAAGAAAAUGCCCUGUUGUGAUUUCAACUCAGUUCAUUCCUAGAUGUCAGUGGACUUGCUUCUCCAUUGUCUGUUUGAUCAAGAGUUCUGCCUCUCUCAUUCUCCAGGCAUUUUUCUUCUGGAGUAAAUUAUGACUGAACAUCUAGAUUUCUAAUUAUUUUUCCAAAGCAUGAUAAACCAGCAGUAGGACUUGACAGAGGUCCAAGCUGGAAUAAAUCUGGAAUCAAACAAUUUUCUCCACCACACUGUUCUAUUUGUUACUCGGGACUUCCAUCUCCUCUGCUCAUUAUACAAAUUGGUUUGAGUCCUCCUUGCUUCAUUGAAUCAAAGGUAAUUUUACCAUUUACCACAAUAAGAGAAGAAUGAGCACUCAGUGAAGGGACUUUAAAAUGUCAUUUUUUUCCUAUACAAGGCAUUCAAUAUCUUGGAAAGUCCCCAAUUCCUAAAACAGCAUAAAUUAUGAGAUUUAACUGAGAAAUACUGCACUUUAGAUUCCAUCUGAGAUUGUAUCAUGUAUGCACAGCAUUUUAUAUUUAUCACCUUAAAUUACUUCUAUUGAAUUUUGAUUAUAAUGCUUUUUAAAAAUAUCACACUAGCUUAUACGUGGUCAGAAAUAAAUCGAAUAUGAUUCGUUCUACUUUGUGCUUGGAUGAUGUACUAAUUUAUUUCCCACAACAGUACCAUUCAUUGUAUAAAGCUAGGAGUUGUUUUUCUAAUUUUAACAAGUUUAGCUUGCUAAUAACCAAGACAAAUGUAUAAAUUUGUGUUUUUCAGGUGAAGUUUUUCACUUUAAUCAAAAACAUGCUUGCAAUGCAUGAGACACUCAAUUGAUCUCUUGCACAAUUUUUUAAACGUUAGAAUUAAUUAAUGACAAACAUUUAGUUAGAAAUCUUUAGUAAGCUGGUUCUUAAUGUUGAUCUUGAUUUAUAUUCAAGUCAUGUAUUUAUUCAGACUUUCAAAUAAAAUAUGUUUGAAUUGCUACACUGAUAUAAUAGCAUGCUUUGCAGAGUACUCUUGAAUGUCAUAAUGUUGAUAUGAUCUUUCAUGUGGUAUAUUUUCACCUUCACUGAGCCUGUAGUAAGGCUGAGCUAUCAGUACUUAAACCAAUCACAAAUUUUCAGUGAAAGUCCUGUAUUUUGAAUGUAUGCAAGAAGAAUAACAAAAUCACUCAGUACCCCACUUCUAAAACCAUGUUCCUCAAAUAAAGAAACUCACACAACAGACUUCAGAGCUGUUACUUCUGACUGAAAUCCACUAAGCUAAACUUGGAUUUGAAUGACAUAAUGAGUCAUUUGAGUCACAACGUCUCAUGAAAAUUGAGACAACUUACACUAUAGCAGCCAUGAGAAAGUCAAGCACCUAUGACAGAGGUGGGCAAAAUGCGGCCCGCGGGCCAGAUGUGGCCCGCCAGCUCAUUCUAUCCAGCCUGCGGGGCCCCUAAACAAUUUAGAAAAUUAAUAUUUAUCUGCCCCUGGCUGCCUGUCAUACAGCCCUCAAUGGCUUGCCAAAACUCAGUAUGUGGUCCUCCGCCUGAAAUAAUUGCCCGCUCCUGACCUAUGAUCUACGGGGAAACAACUUGAAAGAUCUUACAAGGACACCUUGUUUUACAGUGUUAUUUUAUGGUGUCUGGUUAAUUGUAGAUUGAUGAGGUAAUGCAGUGUUUGCCAACCUCUGGCAUAAAGCAUGAAUAGUGAGCUUAUCUAACUGCCUAAACUCCUGUAAUGGGUUGGCUUCUGCAGAUGGCUUUUGCUCCCUCAACCAGUCCUCCCAAAUAAAAUACAGUACUUAAACAACAAACAAAUGGACAGACAAAACCAAAUCUUUCCGCCCUUUGCCUCUGGCCCCUGCACAUCAACCUGGCCCCCUCCUCAUAGCAAACUGUUCCACUCCUAACUUACUUCCUCCCUUUUGCUUACUCUUCUGGGAGCUUUUAAAGCCCCCAGUGGGACACUCCCUGCUGUCCCAAUGCCUCUCAGCUGGGUUUGCUUAACAAGGCUGAUCGUUCCCUCUUAAAGGGACAUCCUGCCCUGUUUACAGGGCCCAACCUGCACUAUCAUCUCUCUCAUGUAUAUUUUCUGCUCUGACAGAGGUCCCUCACAUAAAUAGGCCACCACAGAGUAUUAAUGUUUUAAAUUACUCUUUUUGUAUUAUAUCUGUAGCACCAACAGUGCACAAUCUUUAUACUAGUUAUACUGCAGAAGAAAAAUUGGUGCUGAGAAAUCUACAUCUAAAUAUGACAAUAUAACUAAUGAAGAAAACUGGGAAAAGAGAUGCAUAAUCAGUUCUUAUGUUUUUAUUAAUUGGUCAGACUGCACAUAUGCUUGUUAGUUCCAGAUUUUUUAUUCAUUUUUAAUUUGCAGUGGAAGAGUAAUUACAGCUCCAGAGGUAUGUUUUGGAGAGUAACUAAGUACUUAGUAUCCUGCUGUUUUGUAUUUAUUCAGUGAUAUGACAUUCUCAGGCCCUGGACUGGUCAAUGGAGCCAUUCAGUCAGACCUACCAUCCCAUGGCAAACUAUAUGACUAGGGCAAGGCUUGCCUGAGGCCUCCAGCAGGGCCUAGCCAUUUGUCUACUCCCUGUCACCAGAGUGGUUGGUCAGUGUCACCUGACUCCCUACUGUCCCCAUAUAAAAGCAGGAACAUGAAGUUUCUGGGCAACAGGAUUCACUUGUUGGCUACAAAUGUCCAACUCGGGAUCCUUAAAAUUCUGGUUUAUUAGGCGGAUUGAAACACUGUAAUGAAGUUAAAUCAUAAACCUUGG